AGUAGGACUAGCAUAAUGAGGGGGGUAGCAACAGUGGUGAGUUCGUUGGAUGGCUUAAGCCCUGAGUACAGGGUAGUCGUCAGUGGUUCGACGCCUUAGUAUAAAGGUCUCGAGAUGCCACGUGGACGAGGGCACGCCCAAAGCACAUCUUAACCUGAGCGGGGGUCGCUCAGGCGAAAGCAGUUUAACCAACUGUUACGAAUACAGCCUGAUAGGGUGCUGCAGAGGCCCACUGUACUGCUACUAAAAAUCUCUGCUGUACAUGGCACAUGGAGUU
rnacentral:other from 1 species